GCCAGUGACCACAAUUUAACGGCCGCGGUACCCUAACCGUGCGAAGGUAGCAUAAUCACUUGUUUCCUAAAUAGAGACUAGUAUCAACGGCAUCACGAAGACUACACUGUCUCCCCCCUAAAAUCAAUGAAACUAAUCUCCUCGUGAAGAAGCGAGGAUGAACAUAUAAGACGAGAAGACCCCAUGGAGCUUUAAACAAACUUCAAUUGCUUUCCCCCCCCCCCC
rnacentral:rRNA from 1 species